GCAGCCGCCCAACUGUCAAAAUGGAAAAAUAGUAUAAGAGCAGUUGUUGGGAGAUCAGCAUAGAACUAUCUCUUGAACAAAAUCGUUUGGCUUGAACUUAUCAAACAUGGCAUGGUGAAUCUUCAAUAUACCCAGUAACCCAAAUAAAGGGCAGCCAGGUGCACAAAGCACCUAGCGUUAGCAGGGUCCGGGGAAGGGCCGCACCCUAAGGGUUGUGAUGUAGAAAGAGAAAAUAGAUAGCAAAAGCGAAAGAUUGCGUUACUUCACCCAAAAAAAAAAAAAACACGAAA